rnacentral:rRNA from 1 species
CUACGGGGCGCACCAGCUAAGAAUCUUCCGCAAUGGACGAAAGUCUGACGGAGCGAUGCCGCGUGGAUGAAGAAUGUCGAGAGAUUGUAAAAUUCUUUUAUUAGUGAGGAAUAACGGCACUAGGAAAUGAGUGCUGGAUGACGUUAGCUGAUGAAUAAGCUCCGGCCAAUUACGUGCCAGCAGCCGCGGUAACACGUAAGGAGCGAGGCGUUGUUCGGAAUUAUUGGGCGUAAAGGGCGCGUAGGCGGUUUGUUAAGUCUUGUUUGAAAGACCGGUGCUCAACACCGGGACCGGACAGGAACUGAUAGACUAGAAUCCGGUAGGGAAAUGUGGAAUUCCUAGUGUAGGGGUGAAAUCUGUUGAUAUUAGGAAGAACACCAAUGGCGAAGGCAACAUUUUGGGCCUGGAUUGACGCUGAUGCGCGAAAGCAUAGGGAGCAAACAGGAUUAGAUACCCGAGUAGUC